CCGCCGGCGACCGGCGCACGGGUGAGUAACACGUAUGCAACCUGGCCGUGACAGAUGGAUAACCGGGAGAAAUCCCGCCUAAUACAACAUAAUGCCGGGAGGGGACAUCCCCUGCCGGCCAAAGGGGCGACCCCGGUCACGGAUGGGCAUGCGGCGCAUUAGGUAGUUGGUGGGGCAACGGCCCACCAAGCCGACGAUGCGUAGGGGUUCUGAGAGGAAGGUCCCCCACAUUGGUACUGAAACACGGACCAGACUCCUACGGGAGGCAGCAG
rnacentral:rRNA from 1 species